GACGAACGCUGGCGGCGUGCCUAAUACAUGCAAGUCGAACGCUUUUUCUUUCACCGGAGCUUGCUCCACCGAAAGAAAAAGAGUGGCGAACGGGUGAGUAACACGUGGGUAACCUGCCCAUCAGAAGGGGAUAACACUUGGAAACAGGUGCUAAUACCGUAUAACACUAUUUUCCGCAUGGAAGAAAGUUGAAAGGCGCUUUUGCGUCACUGAUGGAUGGACCCGCGGUGCAUUAGCUAGUUGGUGGGGUAACGGCUCACCAAGGCAACGAUGCAUAGCCGACCUGAGAGGGUGAUCGGCCACAUUGGGACUGAGACACGGCCCAGACUCCUACGGGAGGCAGCAGUAGGGAAUCUUCGGCAAUGGACGAAAGUCUGACCGAGCAACGCCGCGUGAGUGAAGAAGGUUUUCGGAUCGUAAAACUCUGUUGUUAGAGAAGAACAAGGAUGAGAGUAAAAUGUUCAUCCCUUGACGGUAUCUAACCAGAAAGCCACGGCUAACUACGUGCCAGCCGCCGCUGUAA
rnacentral:rRNA from 1 species